rnacentral:rRNA from 1 species
GGAAGUAAAAGUCGUAACAAGGUUUCCGUAGGUGAACCUGCGGAAGGAUCAUUAAUGAAGUCCCAAGGGGGUCGCCAGACACCCCCGGAGGCGUGGUGGUCAAGUAUUCUUAGGGUAGCUCCGGGACUACCCCACCCGUCUUAUUCUACACCCAAUGUCUACCUAAAUGUUAAGCCUGCUUUGGCGGCUUUACCCGUCAAGGGCACCUAAAACUCGAUAUAUCGAUGCUGUCGGAGUUAUACACAAUAACUAAAACUUUCAACAACGGAUCUCUCGGUUCUGGCAUCGAUGAAGAACGCAGCGAAAUGCGAUAAGUAAUGUGAAUUGCAGAAUUCAGUGAAUCAUCGAAUCUUUGAACGCACAUUGCGCCUUUUGGAAAUUCCGGAAGGCAUGCCUGUUCGAGCGUCAUUUAAACCCUUCAAGUUAGGCUUGAUGUUGGGCGUCGUCCCCUGGACGUGCUUCAAAUCCAGUGACGGUCCAGGUGAUUUUGAGCGCACUGAAUCCAUUUUCGCUUUGAAAAUCAUCUGGCAUCGGCUUUUUACCCAUAAGAUUGACCUCGGAUCAGGUAGGGAUACCCGCUGAACUUAAGCAUAUCAAUAAGCGGAGGAAA